rnacentral:rRNA from 1 species
ACUCCUACGGGAGGCAGCAGUGGGGAAUAUUGGACAAUGGGCGAAAGCCUGAUCCAGCAAUGCCGCGUGAGUGAUGAAGGCCUUAGGGUUGUAAAGCUCUUUUACCAGGGAUGAUAAUGACAGUACCUGGAGAAUAAGNGCCGGCUAACUCC